rnacentral:misc_RNA from 1 species
GAUGAAGAACGUAGCGAAAUGCGAUAAGUAAUGUGAAUUGCAGAAUUCAGUGAAUCAUCGAAUCUUUGAACGCACCUUGCGCCCCUUGGUUAUUCCAAAGGGCAUGCCUGUUUGAGUAUCAUGAACACCUCAACUCUUGUGGUUUCCCACAAUGAGCUUGGACUGUGGAGGUUUUGUUGGCCCUGUGGUCAGCUCCUCUCAAAUGGAUCAGCUUACCGGUGUUUGGUGGCAUUACGGGUGUGAUAACUAUCUACGCUCGUGGUCGUCUCCAAAUAACCUCCAGUGAUGGAGGUUCGCUGGAGCUUAUAAAUGUCUCUCCCAGUGAAGACAGCCUUUGAACGUUCGAUCUCAAAUCAGGUAGGACUACCCGCUGAACUUAAGCAUAUCAAUAAGCGGAGGA